GAUGAACGCUGGCGGCGUGCCUAAUACAUGCAAGUCGAGCGAACAGACGAGGAGCUUGCUCCUCUGACGUUAGCGGCGGACGGGUGAGUAACACGUGGAUAACCUACCUAUAAGACUGGGAUAACUUCGGGAAACCGGAGCUAAUACCGGAUAAUAUAUUGAACCGCAUGGUUCAAUAGUGAAAGACGGUUUUGCUGUCACUUAUAGAUGGAUCCGCGCCGCAUUAGCUAGUUGGUAAGGUAACGGCUUACCAAGGCAACGAUGCGUAGCCGACCUGAGAGGUGGAUCGGCCACACUGGAACUGAGACACGGUCCAGACUCCUACGGGGGGCAGCAGUAGGGAACCUUCCGCAAUGGGCGAAAUCCUGACGGAGCAACGCCGCGUGAGUGAUGAAGGUCUUCGGAUCGUAAAACUCUGUUAUUAGGGAAGAACAAAUGUGUAAGUAACUAUGCACGUCUUGACGGUACCUAAUCAGAAAGCCACGGCUAACUACGUG
rnacentral:rRNA from 1 species